rnacentral:ncRNA from 1 species
GGGACCGGCGGCCCGCUGACCUCCCCAAGAACCGGGAGAAAGAACUACCCGCCCCCCACCCUCCCGCGCAUGUCACCCGUCCGAGUGACGCGCUUGCGACGGAGGGAUACGGACCGUUACGUUCGCCGCGACAACCGCAAACGCAUACGGCCCCCGGCCGGGACGGCAAUCCCGAACGAGGGCCUGACCAAUCAGGAAGAGCAGAACUUCCCG